CACGGGGGGAGCAAGCGUUGUUCGGAAUCACUGGGCGUAAAGGGCGUGUAGGCGGUUAGGUAAGUGGGAUGUGAAAGCCCUCGGCUCACCCGAGGAUCUGCAUCUCAAACUGCCUGACUUGAGUAUGGGAGAGGAUGAGGGAAUUCCUGGUGUAGCGGUGAAAUGCGUAGAUAUCAGGAGGAACACCGGUGGCGAAGGCGCUCAUCUGGCCCAAUACUGACGCUGAGGCGCGAAAGCUAGGGGAGCAAACGGG
rnacentral:rRNA from 1 species